rnacentral:misc_RNA from 1 species
UAGAUGCCUAAAGAUUUUCCAUGCUACUGUUCUAUAUUUGUUAUAUCAUAAGGUUUGACAUCCUUUUUCAAAGGAAGAAGCAAUUAAGUGAAUAAUUUCUCAUCAGGUCCUCAUCCUCCUCGGUCUGGCAGCCAUCGUCGCUGCAGACAGCCGUGAAACUUAUGCCUACCGCGCCCCCAGGGCAUCUUCUGAGGAAUCCUUCGAGUCCACCGAAGCCAAGUACAACUUCAACUGGGCCGUCAGCGAUGACUCCUCAAGCAACGAGUUCGGACACCAGGAGGCCCGUGACGGCGACGACACUCAAGGAUCGUACUACGUGC